AGGAGACACAUUUGUGCAAUAUUUAGGAAGCAAAAUUGUAGAGCAGGAAUGGAUCUGAAGUCAAUGAAAAACUCUUCAUAGCUCUAGUUGUUGGGCUUCCCCAGAAGAUGACAUUGAAAGGAAGGUUUGGAUGCAAGUUGUUCAUUUAGGAGGAGAUCUCAGGAAGCACAAAGUAUUUCCUUGAGUCAGGACCUCCAAGUCCUCCCCUAACUGUUUUGGCAGAGUUCAAAGACUGGGAAGCAAAGUUCAGCCAUGUUGGGCCUUUGGGCUCAUAGAUGAGCAAGGGUACCCCAAUAUGAGGGCUCAGCAAAUUCUGGAACUUAUCAGUUCUGAAGACCUUUAGAGGAGAAGGAGACAAGUAAAAGGGUUGGCCUUGCGUAUUGGCAAUGAAACAGGCUAUUUUUGACAUUGAGUUGUCCAGCAUUCUCUAAGGUAUGUAGUCCUGGAGGGCGCUGCUUAAUGAACCAGAAGUCCUGCCUCUUAAGUACCUCACCAGCUCAAAUGUGUGCAUGUCACCUUGGCGUGAAUCGGAGCAGGCGCUGGUGGAUACCGUUUGGAGGCAUGCCAGCAAGGAGCUCCUUGUGUAGCCUGCCUCUGGAGCCUCAAGUUCAACUUCCAUAGGGCCAAAAGGGGAGUCGGGCUGGGCAGAAGCUCCUGAGAACCAAAGCAAAUGGUCUGAGAGUCUGAGAGUGUAGUGGAGGUAACGUGUUCGUGUCCUCUCUGGCUGCAUCACCCCAAGUCCUUGCAGACUCAAGUAGCCUAUUUGCAAGUUUAAAUAGUUUGAGUCCUGGCCGGUAACAAGAAUACUCUACAGUGGCCCAGAGUCAGGGAUAUAGAGUGGCGACUACUUGGCAGAACUGGAGCUUGCUCAGAUGAAAAGAUAAAUUGUACUGGUUAAACGAAGAUCAAGUGCAGGGUCUGGACUUUGUUUCUAUCUUUCAUGUGGACUCUAUAAGCACCUACACACAGCAUUCUAGAAACACUGCUCCCAUCCCUCCUGUCUCAUGUCAUCCUCCCAAUUCCGGGAGUUGGGGGGCAUACUCUUUCCCUGUGUCAUGUGAGAAAUUCCUUUCUCAUGGGAAGCAGGUGGCAUUCCUGGACUCUCCUUGGCCUGGCCGUUGGUAAGCACAGGAAUUCAAGGUGUCUGAAUCUCUUGUCAAAGGUGGGCUGUAAGGCUCCAGAAGAGGAGGACAGAAAGUGCCUGCAGAGCUCCUGCCUGAGGCCUUUGGAUGGGCCCUGCUGGCUUGCCGUGUGUGUGUGUGUGUGUGUGUGUGUGUGUGUGUGUGUGUGGUGUCGUGCUUAUUUGCCCCAAAUGAGGCAAGAGAGCAGUGAUCAGGUGUCUCCCCAGCAUCUAGUUUCAUGAAGACAAUAGAAGUGGGUCGGAUCAGGCCUGCUGCCAUGCUUGGCUUGCCCAUGUCUCCUAGGAUUGGCUGCCUGGUGGCCAUCCCUUUGCCAUCCCCUUGACUGCCCUGUGAAUGAUGUCCACUCUGAGACCCCAGGCCACUCAGAAAAACUGAAGAUUCUCAAGUUCAGGUGCAGUUAGGGGGCAGGUCCUGGUGGUGGGGGAGCUUUGAUGUUCUGCAGUUGGAGGAUCCUCUUUCAGAAUAGUAAUGCAAUUUGUGAAUUAAUAAAAUUAGGUAUGCAAGAGGAUAUGUAGAAAAGAAAAAUCACAAGCUACACAAUUUUUAAGUUGACAAAACUACGAACAUCACAAAAUAAUAUGAUAUUUUAAAUUAAUUAUCUGCCUGGAAUACUCUGUCAUUUUUUUUUGAUCUUUUGCCUGCAUCGUCUUUGAUAGCAGUGUUUUUGAUAUUGCUUUUUAUAGAGAGACUCAAGAUAAUGGAGUCUACUCUGUUGUGGUUAAUUAAACAUUUUUUGGUGUUAUUCAUAGUUUGAGAUGUUUCUUUUAGCUUCUCAACCUGCUAUACAGAUAAAAAGCACUUUCAUGUCAGGUAAAUAUUUAGAAUUGUUGCCAAAUUUUAAAUUUCCUCCAUCAAUUUUCUUUCAUAUGUCAUAUAUGAGUUGUGAGAUUUGGAAGGAUAUUUCAGACCAGCUUCUGUAUCUAUUUUUUUCUCUAAUCACAUGCUACUGGUGGUGUGG
rnacentral:lncRNA from 1 species